rnacentral:rRNA from 1 species
CACACAGGGGGAUAACAGUUGGAAACGGCUGCUAAUACCGCAUAAGCGCACAGUACCGCAUGGUACGGUGUGAAAAACUCCGGUGGUGUGAGAUGGACCCGCGUCUGAUUAGCUAGUUGGCAGGGCAACGGCCUACCAAGGCGACGAUCAGUAGCCGACCUGAGAGGGUGACCGGCCACAUUGGGACUGAGACACGGCCCAAACUCCUACGGGAGGCAGCAGUGGGGAAUAUUGCACAAUGGGGGGAAACCCUGAUGCAGCGACGCCGCGUGAGCGAAGAAGUAUUUCGGUAUGUAAAGCUCUAUCAGCAGGAAGAAGAAAUGACGGUACCUGACUAAGAAGCACCGGCUAAAUACGUGCCAGCAGCCGCGGUAAUACGUAUGGUGCAAGCGUUAUCCGGAUUUACUGGGUGUAAAGGGAGCGCAGGCGGAAGGCUAAGUCUGAUGUGAAAGCCCGGGGCUCAACCCCGGUACUGCAUUGGAAACUGGUCAUCUAGAGUGUCGGAGGGGUAAGUGGAAUUCCUAGUGUAGCGGUGAAAUGCGUAGAUAUUAGGAGGGAACACCAGUGGCGAAGGCGGUCAACUGGACGAUAACUGACGCUGAGGCGCGAAAGCGUGGGGAGCAA